GUUUGAGUGUAGUGGGGAUUGUUUGCUAACAUAACAUGAAAGUCCUGGUUUGGGACUAAUGUUGCUGUAAUUUAGCCCCAGGAGAUAUCGUC